GGCAGGCCUAACACAUGCAAGUCGAACGGUAACAGGAAGCAGCUUGCUGCUUCGCUGACGAGUGGCGGACGGGUGAGUAAUGUCUGGGAAACUGCCUGAUGGAGGGGGAUAACUACUGGAAACGGUAGCUAAUACCGCAUAACGUCGCAAGACCAAAGAGGGGGGACCUUCGGGCCUCUUGCCAUCGGAUGUGCCCAGAUGGGAUUAGCUAGUAGGUGGGGUAACGGCUCACCUAGGCGACGAUCCCUAGCUGGUCUGAGAGGAUGACCAGCCACACUGGAACUGAGACACGGUCCAGACUCCUACGGGAGGCAGCAGUGGGGAAUAUUGCACAAUGGGCGCAAGCCUGAUGCAGCCAUGCCGCGUGUAUGAAGAAGGCCUUCGGGUUGUAAAGUACUUUCAGCGGGGAGGAAGGCGAUAAGGUUAAUAACCUUGUCGAUUGACGUUACCCGCAGAAGAAGCACCGGCUAACUCCGUGCCAGCAGCCGCGGUAAUACGGAGGGUGCAAGCGUUAAUCGGAAUUACUGGGCGUAAAGCGCACGCAGGCGGUCUGUCAAGUCGGAUGUGAAAUCCCCGGGCUCAACCUGGGAACUGCAUUCGAAACUGGCAGGCUAGAGUCUUGUAGAGGGGGGUAGAAUUCCAGGUGUAGCGGUGAAAUGCGUAGAGAUCUGGAGGAAUACCGGUGGCGAAGGCGGCCCCCUGGACAAAGACUGACGCU
rnacentral:rRNA from 1 species